rnacentral:misc_RNA from 1 species
GUUUAGCCCUGAUUGUAGCAAUUGUUUGAGCUCUUUUUGAAGAAUGAAAAAAAGCGAGUGCGAAAAGCAGGAAAUAGC